UACGUAGGGUGCAAGCGUUGUCCGGAAUUAUUGGGCGUAAAGAGCUCGUAGGCGGUGUGUCGCGUCUGCUGUGAAAACUCAGGGCUCAACUCUGAGCUUGCAGUGGGUACGGGCACACUAGAGUGCUGUAGGGGAGACUGGAAUUCCUGGUGUAGCGGUGAAAUGCGCAGAUAUCAGGAGGAACACCGGUGGCGAAGGCGGGUCUCUGGGCAGUUACUGACGCUGGAGGAGCGAAAGCGUGGGGAGCGAAACAGG
rnacentral:rRNA from 1 species